GAUGAACGCUAGCGGCAGGCCUAACACAUGCAAGUCGAGGGGUAGCAGGAUUAAGCUUGCUUAAUUGCUGACGACCGGCGCACUGGUGCGUAACGCGUAUGCAACCUACCUUAUACUGGGGUAUAGCCCGGAGAAAUUCGGAUUAAUCCCCCAUAGUACUAAUGAAUCGCAUGGCUUAUUAGUUAAAGCAUCGCGGUAUAAGAUGGGCAUGCUUCCUAUUAGCUAGGUGGUGAGGUAACGGCUCACCAUGGCUACGAUAGGUAGGGGGCCUGAGAGGGUGGUCCCCCACACUGGUACUGAGACACGGACCAGACUCCUACGGGAGGCAGCAGUGAGGAAUAUUGGUCAAUGGGCGCAAGCCUGAACCAGCCAUGCCGCGUGCAGGAAGAAUGCCCUAUGGGUUGUAAACUGCUUUUAUUUGGGAAUAAACCUCUUUACGUGUAGAGAGCUGAAGGUACCAAAUGAAUAAGCACCGGCUAACUCCGUGCCAGCCGCCGCGGUAA
rnacentral:rRNA from 1 species